GGCUUUGGUCUGCUGUGACAGAACAGUUCAUCCCUCUUUUAUAGCCUCCUUCUAUAUGCAAAGUAAACUUCCUCACAGUCUCCUUUAAAGACUUGAUAUCACGCUGUCAGUCGCAGCAGAAGAGGAGAAGCUCCCAUCAGAUCAACCUCCACACCAACAUGUUCUCUGUAGCUCUACUGCUGCUGCUGGCCGCUGGAUACUGUGUGAAGUGUGAGCAGUUGACGCAGCCGGCCUCUGUGACUGUGCAGCCCGGUCAACGUCUGACCAUCACCUGUCAGGUUUCUUAUGCUCUUAACAGCUACUACACAGCAUGGAUCAGACAGCCUGCAGGGAAAGGACUGGAAUGGAUUGGAAUGAAACAUACUGGAGCGUCAUACUACAAAGACUCACUGAAGAGCAAGUUUAGUAUCGACUUAGAUGCUUCCAGUAAAACAGUGACUCUAAACGGACAGAAUGUGCAGCCUGGAGACACGGCUGUGUAUUACUGUGCUAGAAACCCACAGUAACACAAACCAUCAGUACAGCUGAACAAAAACCUCUCAGUGCCUGAACACUUGUAACACAAAGCCACCAGAGGAGGAGUCCUCAGACCACCAAUGAUUUCACCACCAGCUCACUGUUACAUCACUUUAAAUACCUACAUGUUACAAAUACUAAUAUGCUAUUCUAUAUAUUUAAGAAAAUUCAUAAUUUUACAAGCAAGGAAAAUCAUUUUUUCUUCAGAUUUUAAGUUCUACACUAAGAUCUGAGUUUUAUUAUUAGGGUCCUUGCUUCGACUUGUCUUAGAGGAACCUAUUGUAUUUAUUAUUUACCUCAAGUUACAAGUUACAAUGACUAAUAUGCUGUUCUAUAUAUUUCCUGAAUAAAAAGUUAAUAGCAUGUUCAUUAA